UUCUUAUCGAGAGAAGCUAAGGGACCUGGCCUGUUGACGCUUCAGCAACCUCUAUCUCCAUUAGAAAGGUGCUACCUCCAGCAAGAUGUAUGUCUUGAAAGAUAAGAG
rnacentral:ncRNA from 2 species